AUAUAAUAUAUAAAUAAAUAAACACGUCUCAAACAUCUCCACUACAUCCGCAAAUACAAUCGCUUUGAGAAGCGCCACAAGAAUAUGUCUGUGCACCUGUCCCCCUGCUUCAGGGACGUCCAGAUUGGUGACAUCGUCACAGUUGGCGAGUGCAGGCCUUUGAGCAAGACGGUGCGCUUGAGUACAUUGAAGACGGUGCGCUUCAAUGUACUCAAGGUCACCAAGGCAGCUGGCACCAAGAAGCAGUUCCAGAAGUUCUAAGACUGGAUGCCUGCCCACCCUCCAAAGCAAAAUAAACUUAUUUUGUAAUUCAAAAAAAAAAAAAAGAUAAACCAAAGGUCUCUAUGUUGUGAUAUAAUCCUUUACCUGCUCUUGAGUACAUUGAAGACGGUGCGCUUCAAUGUACUCAAGGUCACCAAGGCAGCUGGCACCAAGAAGCAGUUCCAGAAGUUCUAAGACUGGAUGCCUGCCCACCCUCCAAAGCAAAAUAAACUUAUUUUGUAAUUCAAAAAAAAAAAAGAUAAACCAAAGGUCUCUAUGUUGUGAUAUAA
rnacentral:lncRNA from 1 species